AUUUGGAAUGACAUGUAGGUGAGUAAAUGAUUUUCAGUACUUCAAUUUCUGGUUGAACUGUCCCUUAAAGACUCUACAGCCUAUUGAAAAGACAUAAAUGUAUUACUUACAACCUUGAUUUCAUUAAUCUCAAAGGAAAUACCCUCAAACUAAAUGUAAACAAGUCCGUAAAGCAAUGCUAACAUCUGCAAUCUGGUUGGUAAUACGUGAUUGGCACACUGGGCUAUAUCUUCCCGAGAACCCUGAUCUCUUGUGAAAAAACAUGGUAGCCUGUCCAUGCAGACAGAUCUGACUGUGUAAUGUAUUGACAGUUGAGCAGUCUACAUUAAGUGCAUACAUUGAAAACACACGUCUGUCAAGGGAGGGGGGUUAUUUAGGAGGAAGAUCAAUAGAAGGUUAAAUGACGGCCCUUCUUUGACUCUACAGGCCCAGCUAGAGCAAGGGGGAGUAGCUCUUCCGAACUCUCCCCCUCCUUUUCUCUUUCCCUACUGCUUCUGCAGCCAUCACACAUACUCAGCUUAGUUAGCCUGGGAAAAAGAGCCCCAAACCCCGAUCAAUAACUUUGGUCUUGUCUGCCUAAUUGCUCAUUGGUUGACAUUGGCACCCAGCUAUAUGUAAGUGCAUGUUCCUGGAGUGAUUCACUCUUCCCUUUCCUCUCUCUCUCCACCUCCCUCUCUUUACUCUCAAAAACGCCUCACGCCCUCUGUUCCUUCCUCUUCGCCACGUUUGGGAUGCCCGAACCACAGUUGUCACGUCGGGACGUGAGCAUCCAAAGGCUCCGGCAAGACCUGCUCCACUCUCAUCAGGCCCGUGACGCCCAGAGCGUUCAGCUGGACGUCCAAGAGCAGAGACUGCAGGAUCUGCAGCGAGAGCUGCAAGAAAGCCAGCAGGAGCUCCAGAGGAGACACGACCGCAACCAGCAGCUUCUCAGGUUGCUGCAAGAUGCCAGGAAGCAAGAUCAGGAGCUACAGGCUCAGCUGGUAGAAGAGCAGUCCACAGUCUCCAGGCUGCAGUGUGAGCAACAGGAAGCAGAACAUCAGAGGGAUCUCCUGGGCACCAGAGUAGCUGCGCUGAACUGUGACAUCCAGCAGAAAGACUGCAUGCAGCUCACAGAGCAGGAUGAGGUACAUCACACCAAAUACUUGGGUAAAACAGUGUCUGGUAAGGGUUCCUGUAGAGUAAAAGCUGUGUGUGCUGUAGGUGUCCAGUAG
ensembl:lncRNA